rnacentral:hammerhead_ribozyme from 1 species
AUCCAACUGACGCGUCCCAAAUAGGACGAAAGCGCGAUCGCUGGAU